rnacentral:piRNA from 1 species
UCCAGGCCAUGGAGAAAUUGGGAAGC